rnacentral:rRNA from 1 species
GAUGAACGCUAGCGGCAGGCUUAACACAUGCAAGUCGAGGGGUAUUGGUUUUCGGACCAAGAGACCGGCGCACGGGUGCGUAACGCGUAUGCAAUCUACCUUUUGCAGAGGGAUAGCCCAGAGAAAUUUGGAUUAAUACCUCAUAGUAUAGUACUUUGGCAUCAAGGAACUAUUAAAGUCACAACGGCAAAAGAUGAGCAUGCGUCCCAUUAGCUAGUUGGUAAGGUAACGGCUUACCAAGGCUACGAUGGGUAGGGGUCCUGAGAGGGAGAUCCCCCCACACUGGUACUGAGACACGGACCAGACUCCUACGGGAGGCAGCAGUGAGGAAUAUUGGACAAUGGGCGCAAGCCUGAUCCAGCCAUGCCGCGUGCAGGAUGACGGUCCUAUGGAUUGUAAACUGCUUUUAUACAGGAAGAAACACUCCGACUGUCGGAGCUUGACGGUACUGUAAGAAU